CUAGCGUGAAGCCAUUGAAACAGAUAGUCGCGUCAACGGAAGUUCAAAUGCGUGAUCGUCACGUGAUUCACGUAGAGCUCACGUGGCUCCCGGGAGUUCCUGGCGGCCAGAUUGAAAGCACACACUACAGAGCUGCGAUUUUUAGUUAAUAGCAGAUUAACUAAAAAAAAAACAGAUCAUUGACACAUUAUAGCUGUGACGGUAGCUAACCUGACACCGAGACAAAAGACAUUUAAUGUGGCC